AGAGGACGUCAUAACUCCACUGUACAUCUGACUGUUUUGGAAGCAGGAGGAUGGAAACUGACGACUGCUGUGACAGUUCCUGCUAUUUUCCUCAUUAUCAUACUCAUCUUUGUCGUCAUAUGGAUCAUAAAGAAGAGGGC